rnacentral:rRNA from 1 species
AUUGAACGCUGGCGGCAUGCCUUACACAUGCAAGUCGAACGGCAGCAUGGAGAGCUUGCUCUCUGAUGGCGAGUGGCGAACGGGUGAGUAAUGCAUCGGAACGUACCGUGUAAUGGGGGAUAACGUAGCGAAAGUUACGCUAAUACCGCAUACGACCUGAGGGUGAAAGCAGGGGAUCGCAAGACCUUGCGUUAUACGAGCGGCCGAUGGCAGAUUAGCUAGUUGGUGAGGUAAAGGCUCACCAAGGCGACGAUCUGUUGCGGGUCUGAGAGGAUGGUCCGCCACACUGGGACCGUGACACGGCCCAGACUCUUACGGGAGGCAGCAGUGGGGAAUUUUGGACAAUGGGGGCAACCCUGAUCCAGCCAUGCCGCGUGAGUGAAGAAGGCCUUCGGGUUGUAAAGCUCUUUCGGCCGGGAAGAAAUCGCACAGGCUAAUACUCUGUGUGGAUGACGGUACCGGCAUAAGAAGCACCGGCUAACUACGUGCCAGCCGCCGCAGUAA